rnacentral:rRNA from 1 species
AUGGAAGGCCACGUUAUGCCGUGGUGCCAAGCGUACAAGCGUCUCCACCAACUCGGCGACUUGCCACGUUCAUCGCGGCAAUGCACGCUGAGUUUGGCCAGGACGAGUUCGACGGCCUCCUCCACCGUCUGCACCACCUCAAGCAGAUGGGCACCAUCACUGACUACCGCACGGCCUUCGAAUUGUUUAUGUACCAUCGCGGAGUUCGUCAUGCUGGAUCCAACCUUGAAUCAAAAAUUCUUCGUCUCUCAGUUCGUCAAUGGUUUGCGUGACGAGGCACGCAUGGGUGUUCAUCAGCAUGCACCAACAAGUGAGUCGAGAGCGGCUGCCACGCAUCACGCAUCCAGGAGGAGGAAGCGGAGCACAAUCGUCCACGGGGUCGCCCUCUGGUGUUCGCGCGUGUUCCGCCUCCACCAUCGAUGCCAGUGGUCACGGUUGGGCCGGUGCAGCCAUGAAUUUAUGGCGCCAAACGAGGCCUGGCGACUUUGGCCACAAGCGGCAACUUUGGGAGUUUGGGCGAACCAACGACAUGUGUUUCAAGUGCGGCGACAAGUACAGCAAGUACAACCACAUCGGCCAGCUCCUAACCAUCAAGGAUGGUGA